GGAGAGAUGGCCGAGAGGUCGAUGGCGCCUGCCUCGAAAGCAGGUGUACCCACUUGUGGUACCGGGGGUUCGAAUCCCUCUCUCUCCG
rnacentral:tRNA from 1 species